CAGUGCGUAAUCAAAGCUCCCCAACAGGGGUGUGUACCCAACACUCUCCAGUGGUGGAUAAAUGAGCAGGGAGGGAGCACCAGGUAUGAGGCAACCCCAAAUGUACUGGCGGGAAUAGAGAACAAUGAGAGCUUUAAAGUUUGUUAAAACAAAUAUAAGUUUGUAUAAGAAAGUAGUACAUGGUUGAAAAAACAAUAGGCAUUUCACAAUGGUUUUACUAAGAGCAAAAAUGCUAAAAUCUUAUGAAAUAAAAACAUGUCCCAUGUGACAUGGGCGCUAUUUGAUGACAAAAAAGCCAUCAAGUAUACUCCAUGAACAAAUAAUCAAGCUCACAUAAUAGAUAGGCCUACAUAGCAUGCUUAAGGUUGUUCCACCUGAUGAUACAUCAAAUAUAGAACAUAUAUUUUGUGGUUCAACAAUACACGAUUGUUGUGUAGCAGUUGGGUGUGUAGUAUCUCACUGUAAAAACGAAAACUCAAAAUUGUUGGUCUCAUUAUGAUUUCUGAGUAAAAUUAAUAUAAAACAUUAAGUAUUCAUGUACAACUGUGCAAUGCAAUUUAGUCCAACCAACAAUGUUGAGUUUUGGGUCAAGAGUUGGGCUCACUGUAGCUGGGCCAACUACGGUGCACAUGCGCAUUUCGACACUACCCCCCGGGGAGUCUGGGUAUUCGUGAUGCCGGUUGGGAAAAAGGGGUUUAUUGCCUUUUGUCAAUUUGUUUCUGUUAGGUUAAGUUGGGUUAACGGGUUUGGGGUCUUUAUUGUUUGUGUGUUGUUUAUUGUGCGUAGUGUUGCCGCCACCGUUA